GCACAGGGCCAAAGACAGCAGGUCUCCUAAGUGUCUGCUUUACUGCAACAGCACUUGUGACACACACACCGCGUACUCAGUGUGUGCUGAGAUGAGGGAUGCACUGCAGCCGAGGGGCAAACGUCCAGCCCAGGAUGACUCCAUGACUGGCCCCACCAGGGCCCGCCCUGAACCCUGAGUAGAUCGACCAGCCCAACCGGCUUACUGAUGCUGCCAACUCACUGUGUGUAAGAGACCGAAGAGCAUCUCAUUCAACCGUGCACCUACCUGCCGAGGAAUUUCACUCUCUUGUAAGGUCCUUGAAAACAGAAGCUGUGGAUCAUUCAUCCUUAUAGCCCUGGCAUUCAGCAUACAG